GAUGGACGCUGGCGGCGUGCCUAAUACAUGCAAGUCGAGCGAACGGACGAGAAGCUUGCUUCUCUGAUGUUAGCGGCGGACGGGUGAGUAACACGUGGAUAACCUACCUAUAAGACUGGGAUAACUUCGGGAAACCGGAGCUAAUACCGGAUAAUAUUUUGAACCGCAUGGUUCAAAAGUGAAAGACGGUCUUGCUGUCACUUAUAGAUGGAUCCGCGCUGCAUUAGCUAGUUGGUAAGGUAACGGCUUACCAAGGCAACGAUGCAUAGCCGACCUGAGAGGGUGAUCGGCCACACUGGAACUGAGACACGGUCCGGACUCCUACGGGAGGCAGCAGUAGGGAAUCUUCCGCAAUGGGCGAAAGCCUGACGGAGCAACGCCGCGUGAGUGAUGAAGGUCUUCGGAUCGUAAAACUCUGUUAUUAGGGAAGAACAUAUGUGUAAGUAACUGUGCACAUCUUGACGGUACCUAAUCAGAAAGCCACGGCUAACUACGUG
rnacentral:rRNA from 1 species